rnacentral:rRNA from 1 species
AUGCGGCAGCUUCCCUUGCAAAUUCCUAGGGCUCCCGCUGUCUCUUCGCAAGCUGCACAAGAUCGACUUCCAGCCGCUGUUAGACAAGCUGCUGCUCGGCUAGCUUGUUGGAAGCUCAAAAUGUUUGCCGCGGCUGGAAGGCUAGUGCUACUCAACGCGGUUCUCACUGCCUUCGCCACCUAUUGGAUGACAAUACAAGCGCUACCUCCCUGGGUGCGCAGGCAGAUUGACAGGCUCAGGAGGGCAUGGCUCUGGAGGGGCCAAGAGGAGUGCAACGGUGGACAUUGCACGGUGGCUUGGGCCAGGGUCUGCCAUCCAAAAGAGCUGGGCGGGCUCGGGAUCCUCGACCUCGAGCGGUUGGGGCUGGCGAUACGCCUGCGGUGGCUUUGGCGCCAGCGCACGGCCACCGACUGGCCAUGGAUUGGAUUGCCGGUGCCCUGUGGCCACCUGGAGCGCACCAUUUUUGCGGCAGCUACGUGCGCACGGCUAGGGGAUGGGAGGACCGCUUCCUUCUGGUUUGACAGCUGGAUGCAUGGCGAAGCACCAUGCUUGGACACUGGGUAUUCUGUACAUGUACUAACAAAUGGCAGCAAUGGUAGUACCUGCGGGGACGGACGUUGCAGCUGUUGA